UACGUAGGGGGCGAGCGUUGUCCGGAUUUAUUGGGCGUAAAGAGCUCGUAGGCGGUUUGGUAAGUCGGGUGUGAAAUCUCCACGCUCAACGUGGAGGGGCCACUCGAUACUGCCAUGACUCGAGUCCGGUAGAGGAGUGUGGAAUUCCCGGUGUAGCGGUGAAAUGCGCAGAUAUCGGGAGGAACACCCGUAGCGAAGGCGGCACGCUGGGCCGGAACUGACGCUGAGGAGCGAAAGCGUGGGGAGCAAACAGG
rnacentral:rRNA from 1 species